AUUGAACGCUGGCGGAGUGCUUUACACAUGCAAGUCGAACGGCAGCACGGGGCAACCUGGUGGCGAGUGGCGAACGGGUGAGUAAUAUAUCGGAACGUGCCCAAUCGUGGGGGAUAACGUAGCGAAAGUUACGCUAAUACCGCAUACGAUCUACGGAUGAAAGCGGGGGAUCGCAAGACCUCGCGCGAAUGGAGCGGCCGAUAUCAGAUUAGGUAGUUGGUGGGGUAAAGGCUCACCAAGCCAACGAUCUGUAGCUGGUCUGAGAGGACGACCAGCCACACUGGAACUGAGACACGGUCCGGACUCCUACGGGAGGCAGCAGUGGGGAAUUUUGGACAAUGGGCGCAAGCCUGAUCCAGCCAUUCCGCGUGCAGGAUGAAGGCCUUCGGGUUGUAACUCCUUUCUGGGGAUAAUGAUGAAGGUACCCAGGAAUAAGCACCGGCUAACUACGUGCCAGCAGCCGCGGUAA
rnacentral:rRNA from 1 species